rnacentral:rRNA from 1 species
ACGUGAUCUGAGUUCRGACCGGAGUAAUCCAGGUCAGUUUCUAUCUAUAAAGAGCUUUCUCCAGUACGAAAGGACCGAGAAAGCAUGGCCAAUACUUAAUGCAAGCCAUCUUCAAUAAUUUAUGACUUAAACUCAAUAAAUAAUUUUUCUUCAAUCAACCUCAAUAAAAGAGA